GUUGUAAACUUUUUGGUGAGUAUUCCCGCCUGUCACGCGGGUGACCCGGGUUCGAUCCCCGGCAACGGCG
rnacentral:tRNA from 1 species